GACUGCAGCUCUCAUGUACUCUGAGGCCUGGGUAGUUCCAGGUCAUCUCAGUCAUGGCCUGGUGGAGCUGCCUCUCCUCUCCAAACAGUUUUUCCCAUUAAAACAAGGAGCUAUUCUGUCUCCUCACGAUGCACAAGAGGCCAUAGGAGACCGGGAGCUGAGUUGUGUUCAUGCCAGGCUGUCCAUCCAUCCAAUCCUUGUGCUCCCAGCCUUUGUCAGACUCACAGAUACCACAGGAAUAAGAUUAAACAGCUCUGCUAGAACCAAAGGAUUGGGUCACCUUCUGGUGGUGAGAUGGUGACCCUCACUUCCUGCAGACCAAACAGCUUGAAUUUGUAUCCACUUUGGGCUUGAUAUCCCAUCUUUAUUGCUGUGUGGGAACUGAGGAUCAGUGUAGAUGAAGAUGGUGUUCCUCUUUUUUGAUAACUGAGCAGAAAACUCCCCCGUGCCAGAUAAAUAAUCAAGGAAUGACAGCACAGAACAAAUGUACUGCAGCAGCCAGGUCAAGGAUGAGGAUGAUGGACAGCUGUGGAGAAAGAUGAAGAUUUUUGAGGGUACCCCAAUGGGAUCCUGGGGUGCAUUGGGAAGAACAUUGCCAGCAGGUCAAAGGAGAUGCCUCUGUCCCUCUGCUCAGCCUGGUGGGGCACAUCUGGGUGCUCUGUCCAGUUCUGGGCUCCUCAGAACAGGAGGGGCAUGGAGCUCCUGAAAUGGAUCCAGUGGAAGGCUGUGAAGGUGAUUUGGGACUGGAGCAUCUCUUAGCAGCAAAGGCUGAGGGAGCUGGGGCUGUUCAGCCUGAGAGGAGACACAGCUGAGAGGGGACCUCAUCCCUGUGUGUCCCUGUCUGCAGGGAGGGCUCUGAGCAGGGCCCAGGCUCUGCUCUGCAGUGCCCAGCAAUGGCACAAGAGGAACAGGCAGGAGCUGAUCACAGGAAAUUUCACCUGGACAUGAGGCAGAACUUCUUCCCUGGGCAAUGACCAAGCCCUGAACAGAGAUCAGAGAGGAUGGGAGUCUCCCUCACUGGAGAUAUUCCAGAACCCUCUGGACACAAUCCAUGUGCUCUGGAAUGGCCCUGCUGGAGCAGGGAGGUGGCACCAGAUGACCCCACUGUGGUCCCUUCCAGCCUGACCCAUUCUGUGAUUCCAUGUCUUUGUGAUUUUGGAAAACUCUCCUACUUCUCUUAUUUUGGCCCAAAUGAGAAUGAAUGUCUAGACAAAACCCACAGACACAGGUCUGUGCCAGUUGUUGGACACUCCCAUGUUUCUCCACCAGAAGUCAGGGAAAAGCUCAGGAAUAUUUGACCAGCUGGUUUUCAUGCUGGGAAACAAAUCUGAAAAUCCAGUCUGGCACGUAAAGCUGCAGGAGUGCAAACAAGGGAUAGAGCAGCCAGAUGAAGAAUGAAAUGGAUCAAACAGAUCAAACAAUGGUCUUGCCUGUGGGAAAAUGACACUUUGGGGGGAGUCAAACUUUGAUUCAAAACUGUUUGGAACCUGUGUUUCAAUGCCACAAGGACAACUGCCGUGAAGACCAACAGAGAAACUGGGCAUAGAAACAUCUCAUACCAUGAUAUUCCAUUAAAUUCUCCCUUAAGCUGG